rnacentral:rRNA from 1 species
UACAGAGGGUGCUAGCGUUAAUCGGAUUUACUGGGCGUAAAGCGUGUGUAGGCGGUUUGUUAAGUCGGGUGUGAAAUCCCUGGGCUCAACCUGGGAAUUGCAUUCGAUACUGGCAAGCUAGAGUACGGUAGAGGGCGGCGGAAUUCCGGGUGUAGCGGUGAAAUGCGUAGAUAUCCGGAGGAACACCGAUGGCGAAGGCAACCGCCUGGGCCUGUACUGACGCUGAGACGCGAAAGCUAGGGGAGCAAACAGG